CAGACGAUGCGUCAUGCAUAUCAAUAAGCGGAGGAAAAGAAACUAACAAGGAUUCCCCUAGUAACGGCGAGUGAAGCGGGAAGAGCUCAAAUUUGAAAUCUUAAAGGGUUUCCCUUUACGAAUUGUAGUUUAAAGAAGUGUUUUCUGUUGAGGUUUUGGUAAAAGUUCUUUGGAAUAGGACAUCAUAGAGGGUGAGAAUCCCGUAUUUGACCUUUACUUUCAACUUUGUGAUACACUUUCAAAGAGUCGGAUUGUUUGGGAAUGCAGUCCAGAAUGGGUGGUAAAUUUCAUCUAAAGCUAAAUAUUGGCGAGAGACCGAUAGCGAACAAGUACCGUGAGGGAAAGAUGAAAAGAACUUUGAAAAGAGAGUUAAACAGUACGUGAAAUUGUCAAAAGGGAAGCGUUUGACACCAGUGUUGUUUUUCUGAAAAUCAAUUAAAGAACUGUUUAUGCUAAGCUGUUUAGACUUCAUCAGCUAACUGUUUAGUUUUGAGCUUUUCUUUAAUGCACUUUUCAGUUAACAAGUCAACAUCAAUUUCUUUUGCUGUAAAAAAGCUUGAGGAAGGUGGCUUGAGAUUCGUCUUAAGUGUUUAUAGCCUCUUGCCUAUGCAGUCGGAGAGAUUGAGGUCUGCAGCGUAGAUCCUUCGGGGCUAAAUGCAUUUGUGCUAAGUUAUAGCAUUUUAUAGACAACUUGUUGACUAUGAUUUGUCUUGUAGCUUACUCGCUUAUGUUAUUUUACCUACGCUUAGGAUGUUGAGCGCAUGUCUCUCUCU
rnacentral:rRNA from 1 species